AGAGUUUGAUCAUGGCUCAGAUUGAACGCUGGCGGCAUGCCUUACACAUGCAAGUCGAACGGCAGCACGGGGGCAACCCUGGUGGCGAGUGGCGAACGGGUGAGUAAUAUAUCGGAACGUGCCCUGGAGUGGGGGAUAACUAGUCGAAAGACUAGCUAAUACCGCAUACGAUCUAUGGAUGAAAGUGGGGGAUCGCAAGACCUCAUGCUCGUGGAGCGGCCGAUAUCUGAUUAGCUAGUUGGUAGGGUAAAAGCCUACCAAGGCAUCGAUCAGUAGCUGGUCUGAGAGGACGACCAGCCACACUGGGACUGAGACACGGCCCAGACUCCUACGGGGGGCAGCAG
rnacentral:rRNA from 1 species